rnacentral:rRNA from 1 species
UACGUAGGGUGCGAGCGUUAAUCGGAAUUACUGGGCGUAAAGCGUGCGCAGGCGGUUCGUUGUGUCGGCGGUGAAAGCCCCGGGCUUAACCUGGGAAUGGCCGUCGAAACUGGCGAACUGGAGUGUGGCAGAGGGGGGUGGAAUUCCGCGUGUAGCAGUGAAAUGCGUAGAGAUGCGGAGGAACACCGAUGGCGAACGGCAGCCCCCUGGGCUGACACUGACGCUCAGGCACGAAAGCGUGGGUAGCAAACAGG